rnacentral:rRNA from 1 species
UUCCAGCUCCAAUAAGGAAAACUAAAGUUGCUGUGUUUAAAAAGCUCGUAGUUGAAUUUCGGGUAUUUGUUGCCAGCUGGUCUAACUGGCCAUGUUGGUUAACAGAUCCUCACUUGCUGGACGGCUGGCGAUGAUCUUUAUCGAUUGUCGUCAGUUGCCAGAACGUUUACUUUGAGAAAAUUAGAGUGCUAAAAGCAGGCUCACGCCUAUAUAUAUUGCAUGGAAUAAUGAAAUAAGAUCUCGAUUUUAUUUCGUUGGUUUUAGAAAUUGAGAUAAUGAUUAAUAGGAUCAGAGGGGGGCGUACGUACUGUGGUGUGAGAGGUGAAAUUCUUGGAUCGCCACAGGACGAACAGCAGCGAAGGCGUUCGCCAAGAAUGUUUUCAUUAAUCAAGAACGAAAGUUUGAGGUUCGAAGACGAUUAGAUACCGUCCUAGUUCAAACCAUAAACGUUGCCAACUGUCUUUUAGAUGCGGUUAUUUAUAUGACUCAUCUGGCGGAUCUCGAGAAAUCUAAGUUUUUAGGUUCCGGGGGAAGUAUGGUUGCAAAGCUGAAACUUAAAAGAAUUGACGGAAGGACACACAAGAAGUGGAGCCUGUGGCCUAAUUUGACUCAACACGGGAAACCUUACUCGGCCAGGACACUUUUAGGAUUGACAGAUUGAGAGCUCUUUCUUGAUUAGGUGGGUGGUGGUGCAUGGUCGUUCGUAGUUCGUGGAGCGAUUUGUCUGAUUAAUUUCGAUAACGAACGAGACUCCGGCUUACUAAAUAGUCUAAAGUUCGAAGGGACUUUUCAAGACUUCUUAGCAGGAUAAGUGGCACUUUUUAAGCCACACGAAAUGGAGCAAUAA